UAGGGGGCGAGCGUUGUCCGGUAUGACUGGGCGUAAAGGGCGCGUAGGCGGCGAUCUAAGUUAGGAGUGAAAGUCCAGCUUUUAAGGUUGGAAUAGCUUUUAAUACUGGAUGGCUUGAGUGCGGAAGAGGUAAGUGGAAUUCCCAGUGUAGCGGUGAAAUGCGUAGAGAUUGGGAGGAACACCAGUGGCGAAGGCGACUUACUGGGCCGUAACUGACGCUGAGGCGCGAAAGCGUGGGGAGCGAA
rnacentral:rRNA from 1 species